rnacentral:pre_miRNA from 9 species
AGAGUCUUUUUGUUAGCCAAGGAUGACUUGCCCGAUACAUAUGUAAGAGGUUUCAAGAGUGAUACUCGAGCCUUUUCUUGGGUACCGGGCAGUCUCCUUGGCUACACAGACAGCCUCUUU